CUAGGGAAGGGCCAUAGCUUGGCGGUAGACCACCUGCUUUUCAUGCAGAAGGUCCCAGGUUCAAUCCCCGGCAUCUCUAGG